AAACAAAAAAAAAAAAAAAAAAAAAAAAAAAAAAA
rnacentral:ribozyme from 1 species